rnacentral:rRNA from 1 species
CUGAGCACCUUUUAUUUUAUAUUUACGUAAAGUAUUUUUUUCGUGUUAUAAAAAAUGAAAACUAAAUUUAUACUGGUUUUAAAAGAUAUUUUUUUAUAAACUUAAAAAAAUGUCUUAACUUGGAUGGAAGUGUAUUAAAUAAAUUUUCACGCAUCAUUAACCGUAGACCAAGUAGAAAACGAAUUUCAAUAUUUCCAAGAUCUUUUCUGGACCAAGCCAUAUUUCUCCGGAGGUUCUUCGUCAAUCGUACUCCGUACAUCCAUCCAGAAUUGUAUGAGACUCCUGUGGGAUACCAAACCUUUCCAUCCCAAUGGAUUUCUUGGAUUUAAUAUCCUUCGAAUCCUUUUUAUGGUCAGAUACGAGGGUUCAGUCUCGAAGAAGGCUCAUUUUUU